UACGUAGGGCGCAAGCGUUGUCCGGAAUUAUUGGGCGUAAAGAGCUCGUAGGCGGCCUGUCGCGUCUGCUGUGAAAUCCCGGGGCUUAACCCCGGGCGUGCAGUGGAUACGGGCUGGCUGGAGGCAGGCAGGGGAGAACGGAAUUCCCGGUGUAGCGGUGAAAUGCGUAGAUAUCGGAAGGAACAUCAGUGGCGAAAGCGGCUUCCUGGACCAGCACCGACGUUCAGGCACGAAAGCGUGGGGAGCAAACAGG
rnacentral:rRNA from 1 species